UUAAUGCUGGUAGUAAGAGGCAGUCAUUGAAAUGAACGCCAGAAUAUGUAUUUUUAACAUUGUUUCAUAAAUCAGAGGCCUGAAGGCAUUUUGUUCAAACUUUCCCAGAGUUGUCACCUUCAAAUAGAAACAAGCAUUGAUAAUUUAAAAAUAAAAGAUCUGUGGUUUAGAAAAUCUUGAGGAAGGACUUCCAAGUUUUGCUCAUGAGAGGAUGCUAAAACAUCAGAAAUCAGUUUAGGAGGGCUGUAUAACAAAAUUAAUCUUCAGUGUAAUGCCUACAUUAAAUGCAAUGUCUCAAGCAAGGACUUCCUUUGAAAAGUCUUCUACAAAUUCUUUGCAGGUUAUAUGUGACCUUUUGGAGUCCUCUGGGAAGCCCUGGCUCAGAGCACGUGGAAAUAUAGCUUUCUUUUGAAAGAUGAAGAACAGGAGAAAUUAGUUCAACAAUGUCUUUGAAGUAAGACCUGGAAUUUAUCAUAGUAAGUCGGGGAUGACUCCUGUGCUCCCUUGUAUCUCUAUCCAUCUAUAUUUUCCCUCCUUAUACUAGUAUCGUAAGCCCUCCUGGGGCAUGAAGUAGGUUUUAUUCUCUGUGAUGGGAACUGUUGUUGUGAUACUGUAGUGCAGACAGGAAAAUAUUUUCCUUAUUACAAGGCAGAAACAUGCUUUUUCUCCUUUACCCAACACUACCCUGUGGCCAGUAGACAACUCCCCAAAUCCAUGGAAGCAGAGGCAUUUCUGGGGUAGCCUUCCCUGCUCAAGUGAUGAUUAGAAAACAGAUAAAGUCAGACAGACAGCAGUAAUACUCCUGAGGGAGAGACCAAAAAGUAAAUUCAACUGAACAAAUAAAUCUCCCGACUUACGGUAAUGACUUAGGAGG
rnacentral:lncRNA from 1 species